CAAAGUGUUGACUGUUGUUUAGGUUGCUUCCCUGUUCUAGUAAUUGAACAUUGGAAACUAAGAUAAGGUCUGGGAAAAAUGAUUGGAUAAAAGGUAUAUCUUUAUUCAUUUCCCUACCAACCUAAAAAA